UACGUAGGGCGCAAGCGUUGUCCGGAAUUAUUGGGCGUAAAGAGCUCGUAGGUGGUUUGUCGCGUCUGCCGUGAAAACCCGAGGCUUAACCUCGUGGCUUGCGGUGGAUACGGGCAGACUAGAGGUAGGUAGGGGAGAACGGAAUUCCCGGUGUAGCGGUGAAAUGCGCAGAUAUCGGGAGGAACACCGGUGGCGAAGGCGGUUCUCUGGACAGUUCCUGACGCUGAGGCACGAAGGCCAGGGGAGCAAACGGG
rnacentral:rRNA from 1 species